UGACCUGCGGAGGGAUCAUUACCGAGUUUACAACUCCCAAACCCCUGUGACAUACCUAUACGUUGCCUCGGCGGAUCAGCCCGCGCCCCGUAAAACGGGACGGCCCGCCCGAGGACCCUAAACUCUGUUUUUAGUGGAACUUCUGAGUAAAACAAACAAAUAAAUCAAAACUUUCAACAACGGAUCUCUUGGUUCUGGCAUCGAUGAAGAACGCAGCAAAAUGCGAUAAGUAAUGUGAAUUGCAGAAUUCAGUGAAUCAUCGAAUCUUUGAACGCACAUUGCGCCCGCCAGUAUUCUGGCGGGCAUGCCUGUUCGAGCGUCAUUUCAACCCUCAAGCUCAGCUUGGUGUUGGGACUCGCGGUAACCCGCGUUCCCCAAAUCGAUUGGCGGUCACGUCGAGCUUCCAUAGCGUAGUAAUCAUACACCUCGUUACUGGUAAUCGUCGCGGCCACGCCGUAAAACCCCAACUUCUGAAUGUUGACCUCGGAUCAGGUAGGAAUACCCGCUGAACUUAAGCAUAUCAAAAA
rnacentral:rRNA from 1 species